GCGUCAUCAGAGCUCUCUGAUCUACGUGGUCUCAUUCGGUGGAUUCAGACAGCGCAUUUUCUACAUUGACCGACGAUAAAUAAAGUUAUAAGGUGCUUCUUGGGCAUCAACCCAGAGACGGGCACAAAAUCUAAGAGGCAGAGAGGUCACAUGAACCAGCAAGUCUGCACUCUUAUCAGGAAGCUCAUUGACUUCGAAUGGAUGUCAAUCUAAUUGGAUAGAACCCACACUAUGCAGGUGCCAGCUGCGAGGGAAGGAGCGAGACACCUGCGACCCUCUCUAUUCCCACCUUUUUGUCUUUUCUUACAUCUCUCUCCCUCACUCUCUCUUCUCUGUCUCCUUCUUUCUCUUUUGACACACAUUCCUGUUACCCAGUGUCAAUCCCUGUUGCCCAGUGUUUUAUUCAUGUAAUUAAAUUGUAUUUUACUUCUAAAAAAUAAAAGUUAUGUCACUGUUUUUAUCAGUUUUGUUUGGUCCAUCAUUUAUGCUAAAUCACAGUAAUAGAUAGACAUUCACAGUUAUGUACAGUAAUUCUACAGCUGCUUACU